rnacentral:rRNA from 1 species
AUACGGAGGGAGCGAGCGUUAAUCGGAAUUACUGGGCGUAAAGCGCGCGUAGGCGGCUUUGUAAGUCGGAUGUGAAAGCCCUUGGCUCAACCUGGGGAUUGCAUUCGAUACUGCAGAGCUAGAGUAUGGUAGAGGGAAGUGGAAUUUCCGGUGUAGCGGUGAAAUGCGUAGAUAUCGGAAGGAACACCAGUGGCGAAGGCGACUUCCUGGGCCAAUACUGACGCUGAGGUGCGAAAGCGUGGGGAGCAAACAGGAUUAGAAACCCCAGUAGUCC